rnacentral:rRNA from 1 species
UACAGAGGUCUCAAGCGUUGUUCGGAUUCAUUGGGCGUAAAGGGUGUGUAGGUGGCGCCGUAAGUCGGGUGUGAAAUUUCGGAGCUUAACUCCGAAACUGCAUUCGAUACUGCGGUGCUUGAGGACUGGAGAGGAGACUGGAAUUCACGGUGUAGCAGUGAAAUGCGUAGAUAUCGUGAGGAAGACCAGUGGCGAAGGCGGGUCUCUGGACAGUUCCUGACACUGAGGCACGAAGGCCAGGGAGCAAACGGG